GUCCAAUCAGAACAUGUAGUCCAGGAAACGCAUUUGCAUAACCUCAGUAUAUAAAGCAUGCUGAGGUCGCAUCACGUCAUUUCAAGCUCUUCUGUAUGGAGGGAAGGAGCUACCCUGUGACCGGCUUAGAGAACUGGAAGAGACCGCAACCUUCCUUCUGCUUGAGGUUGGAGGAUGGAUGGAGCCUGGAGCCCUGGAGCGUGGGACACUGUUUCGCUGUGGUUGGUGGUGGCGACAGAGCAGUAGGAGAGCGGCCGGCAGCGGGAGCUUCUCCUGCUAGGCUGGAGGACUAGGAGAAGGAAGAGGCACUGCCACAUGCUGGAGGCUGGAGCCUGUGCCACCGUGGCUGGCCUCGCUGUGGUUGGCUCGCCUCGCUGUGGUUGGCUCGCCUCGCUGUGGUUGGUGGUGACGUCGGAGACUGCAGCUCGGCCACAGUGGUAGAAAUGUGAUGGGGUAGUGGUACAUGAUCAGCAUUGUCCACAUUUACAAUCGAUGGAGGAACAAUGAAAUUCAGUGUUACGUUAAUGGACAACUGGUAUCUUAUGGUGAUAUGGCUUGGCAUGUUAACACAAAUGAUAAAUAGAGCUAUGACAAGUGCUUUCGUGGAUCAUCAGAAACUGCUGAUGCAAAUAGCGUAUUCUGUGCUCAACCUGUUGCCGUUCAGUGAAGCACUCAGCCCAGCACAGAUACUUGCAAUUCAUCAGUUAGGACCUAGAUAUAAGGGAAGUUGGAAAUAGGCAAGAAUGGAGAGAAAUUUUGAAUGGCAGUACACAGAAUUUUGCAAGUUUUUUGUGAGCCCUGCAACAAUCCGAUGCAGUUUAGUUACUGUGCUACUCUUUCGACAUUCCUGGUUGAACUACUUAAAAGUUCAGUCGCCAUGCAAGAACAGGUGCUGGGUGGAAAAGGCUUUUUAGUUAUUGGCUAAUUACUUGAAAAGUCAUCAAGAGUUCAUGUAACUAGACCUGUCUUGGAGCAAUUUUUAUCUUUUGCAAAAUACCUUGGUGGUUUAUCUCAUGGAGCACCUUUGCUGAAGCAGCUUUGUGAUCAUAUUUUGUUUAUUAACCCAGCCAUCUGGAUACAUACACCUGCAAAGGUUCAACUUUCCCUAUAUACAUAUUUGUCUGCUGAAUUUAUUGGAACUGCUACCAUCUACACCACCAUACGCAGAAUAGGAACAGUAUUAAAGAUAAUGCACACCUUAAAAUAUUACUACUGGGUUAUUAAUCCUGCUGACAGUAGUGGCAUUACACCUAAAGGAUUAGAUUUUGGCAAUUAUGAAUAGAGCUACCAUGAACACCCAGGAUGAAAAUAUUCAUGAUGUGCUACAGUUACUGGUGGCUUUAAUGUCAGAACACCCAGCCUCAAUGAUACCAGUAUUUAAUCAAAGAAAUGGAAUAAGGGUGAUCUACAAUUUAUUGGCUUCUAAAAGUGAAAGUAUUUGAGUUCAAGCUUUGAAGGUUCUGGGAUACUUUCUGAAGCAUUUAGGUCAGAAGCAAAGAUUCCUGAACACAGCUGAUGUGAUGUACUCAUAGUUGGGUCUCUGCCCCGCAGAGGUGGCCUUGGUCGUCGUUUCAGCAAUUCUGGGAAGCCAAGGACACCUCCAUCUCCUCCUCCCUGAUCUGCAACUCAUCUGAGAGCAGCUUUCUCAUUGGAAUGUCUUGUGUUUAAGGAACAAGAGAGUCCCUGUUUCCGGUUUUGGUGCCCAAGUGCACCUACUGGAUCCAACCCAGGACUGGAGAUACUUAGCAGAACACAACAUCAUCUGGCACAUGACCAGCCAUGGUGUUUCAUUUUCACAAUUUCAGCUUCCUUCACUGAUUGCAGCAUAAUCGUGGUUCAGCAGCCUCCAAGACCAGGGCUGGUGUGGGUGGCUACAGGGAGAAAUUCAAGAGGAAGUUCUUGGUGGUGCCCUCCAUGAGUACAAAGAAGCCUUACAGUACCCAGGACACCCUUCCGUGCAUGGUGUCACUGACAUCUUUCUUUUGUCAUGUUCUGUAAAUCACAAUGAAUGGGGUAUUCUAUUAUAUAUUUGUUAACUCUUUUUUAGCAUCUUUUUUAAAAACUGGUAACUUUAUCCUAUGUAAUAUCCCUGUUAAGUCCUAAAAGUCUUUUCUGAUGUCUAUUUUGUCUGAAAUUUGCACAGCUACUAUAGCUUUAUUUCGGUUCGUAUUUUCAUAAUCCAUGCUUUCUCAUCCUUUUAUAUAUGUGAAUGUGUAAAGUAACUUUCUUGUGCAUAGCUAAGUGUUUGGUCUUGCUUUUUUAAAUCGACUAUAAGUUCUAUUUUUAAACUAAUAUUUUCUCUUAUUUUUUGUUUAAGAUAGCAUUUCAUAAUGAUGUUUAUUUCUCCAUUAACAUUAUCUAAUUCACUUUUUAUAAAUAUUAUACUUGUUACCAUAAGGUUUGCAAAAGGAUUUUUCAUUUUGGAACCCUUUAUUAUUUUCUGGGUACCAUGAGAAAUUGUAGACUUUACUCCUAUAUUCUCUUUCCAAGCCCUAGAAUUAGCCAUUUCUCCAAGAAAUGUUGGUUCCUUUCAUAGCAGAAUGGUAUGCAAAACUCAAAUCUUGAUUCCGGGUGUAUUUUUUGUUAAUUUGCUGUCUUUUCUUGUAGAACCUCUCAGGUAAUGACUCUAGGAGGUAUGUGUUGUGUAUUAACCCAUAUAUACACACACAUCUAAACUAUUUUUUAUUUAAUGUUUGUACCUAUAUUAUGCUAAACUUGCAAAUAUAUUGACAUAUCUGCCCUAAGUUAAUACCACAUGAAUGUUCAUUACCUGCCUUCUAUUCCUGUCCCUAACCUCGCACUCCAACCGUGAGGAACCCCCUCCUGCCACACACUGUCUAUUCCCUUUGUAGUCCAGUUCCAGGAUUUCUGUAGAGUGGAACCAGAUUGUGUAUGUUUUGCUCUUUUGUGGAACAUCAUCAGCUGGGGUACAGUGCUGAUGUGCACUUUCUUUAUUCUUUUAUCUUAUUGACUACACUAUUUCUGAAGUCACUUGGCACCUCUUCUGAUUUCAUACAUUUGUAAUGACAUUAGAUAUUUUCUAUAUUGUCUGCAUUCUAUCUUGGAAUUCCUAAUCUCCUAUUUAUAUUUUUGUGAAUUAGAAUUAACCCUUUAUGCUGUAUAUUCUGUUGAUUUCAACAAAUUCAUAUCACAUAUUUACCGUUACAAUAUUAUACAUAAUACUUUCAUCACCCUUUUAAAUCUCCUAUUUUUUACCCAUUUUCAUCAUCUCCUUAAAUUUCUUGCAAAUACAGAUUCACUUUGUAUGUUUGGACUUCUCCAGAAUAUCAAAUAAAUAACAUAUUAUGU